rnacentral:tRNA from 1 species
AGGAGUGUAGUUAAAUGGUAUAAUAAUGGUCUCCAAAACCACUGUUGGGAGUUCGAUUCUCUCCACUCCUGCCA